CUCCUUCUUCAUUCUUUCUCCAUUUUCUGCAACUUCUCCUCCUCUCUCUGUUUUUCUGGUUUUACAGCAGCAGGAAGAGCAAGAGCUCUAGCUCUUCUUCGUCUCUCACUCUCGGUUGGUACCCAAACAGCAGCUGUCCCCCUCUCUUUCGGUCAGUGCUAAAACCAGCAACAAAAGCUCUCACAAACCACUCUCUGGAACUCACUCUGUCGCCACAAAAAGUAUGGGUUUCAGCAAGUGUUUCUCCUUUCACUUUUCUGGUUUUAGGCUCACGUAGAACAGCAGAGAAUUUCUUGUUCUUCUCUCUUUUGUUUCUGUUUUUCUACAGAAACUUAUCUCUCAAAAGUUCUCUCCUCUCUCUUGGUCUUUAAUGCAGAAAAUCUCUCAUCUUUCCCUCUUUAUUUUCUGUUCUAUAGGUGCUGUAACUUUCUGUAAAACCAGCAGCAUUUCUUCUCCUUUGCUGCACAAAAACAGCAAAUAAAUUCACUGUUUCACAGCCCCAAAACAGCAGCUUUCUCUUCUCCUUCUUAGCUUAGAAUCAGUAAAGAAAGUAAUAGAAGCUCUUCAAACCCAGCUUUCCUCAUCUCUCACUCUCGGGUCUGUGUAAAAGACAGCAGAAAACUAUUCCUCUCUUCUUACUUUCAGUUUCCAGCAAAGGAGAAGGAAGGAUAAAAAGAAAAAGAUAAAGUCUCCUUCACUUUCGGUCAAUUUCAGCAAACAAGGAGACAAGUUCUACCUAGUUCUAGAAGACUAGCUAGAAGCAAUCCGUAGAAGGUAGCUAAAAUACUGCUCAGAAAAUACCAGAUGACACUGUAGACCGGAGUCUUUUCUUUAUGGAUGGCAUAGACCCCCACCCUAAGAGCAAUAGAUCGAUAAAGACCGGUCUAACUUUUGUAUUGUACAUAUUUAUUUUGAAUUUCUAGAAAUGAGAUGUAUUAACUCAAGAACUACUAUGUAUAUGUUCUUAUAAUGAAAUAUAGCUAUGCGUUAUUCC